rnacentral:rRNA from 1 species
UACGGGGGAUGCAAGCGUUAUCCGGAUUUAUUGGGUUUAAAGGGUGCGUAGGCUGUGAGGUAAGUCAGCGGUGAAAUGCCCCCGCUCAACGGGGUGAAGUGCCAUUGAUACUGCCCUGCUGGAAUGCGGAUGCCGUGGGAGGAAUGUGUGGUGUAGCGGUGAAAUGCAUAGAUAUCACACAGAACACCGAUUGCGAAGGCAUCUCACGAAUCCGCGAUUGACGCUGAUGCACGAAAGCGUGGGUGUCAAACAGG